GGUCUCCUCCUCUCCAAAACAAACAGACCCGGAGAUUACAGAAAAAAGUCUUGACUAAAUUGGAGGAUAUCCAUAUGGAGGUCAGAAGGCUGGGAAGAAGCGAGCCUCCCCUUUCAUCUGCCCAUAUAGAGCAGCUGGAGAUGAUGGAGGAGUUCAAGAGAGAGAAGCAAUGCCUCAGGGACAAGCAAAACUUUAAAUCCCUGGUGUUGCAACUUGCAUUGGAGGGAAAGACAUAAGAGACUGUGUCCACAAAAUUCUUGACAGGCUCUUCACCAACCUGCUGAUGGCAAAAUUAAAUAUGAAGGGAAAGGGGAUGAAGCAGAAAGUCCCUCUGGGGACAACUAAACCUUACAAAGCAAUCAAAGUUUUCCCCAUGCCAUUUAAGUCUAACACCAACUCUCACUUAUAUUCACUAUCUCAACUUUUUCUGAAUUACACAGAAGGCUACAUUUUUGAAACAAAAGGUCAGUGGUAACAAAAUCUAAUUUGUUAAAUUGAUUUUAUUUGAUGAAAGUUUAUUAAGUUUGCUUGCUUGUUGAAUGAGAAUAUUGGAAUCAGCGGGUCAAGCAGCAAACUGUAUGUGAUGCAUUAUGAUGUUAAUCAGCCUUGGCCACUUUAUAUUAAGAUGUUACAAUGGUGUUAUAGAAUUUGAGCAGCAUGGACGUUACUUUCAUUCAAAUCCAUGGGAUUUUUAUGACUAAUUAAAUGUCAAAAUUCAGCAGUCUUACUUCUAUCUAGAGUCAUCUAAAAGUAAGCUAGUAUUUUCUAAAAUGGAAGUUAUAGUACCCAAAGCCAUUACAUUAGGGCUGUGUCUGAUAAGUCAUUUUAUUUUGUAGUGGCACAGCUAUGCAGGUUCUCUAAAUUCAUGAGUGCUACAUUGUCACCCAAAGCCACCAUCUGUUGCAGGCUUAUCCCUUCCUAACAUACAGCGAUGCGAGUGAACAGAGACCAUCUUCACACUAUCUUAAAGUUACAUGUAUGGCGCUGUGUACCCCAUCAGUCGCCAUGGGUCUGUGCAGUAUUGAUACUUGAUAUUUGACAGGAGGAAUAAUAAUUAAUAAGUAUUAGGAACUUCAAACCUAUAUGUUUGACAUACAGAUAUAAAUACACUGGUUGUCUUUGCAUAUUUAUAAUUUUUGUUUUUGUUCAACUCUUGCGGCGGCAGUCAUGAAAUGGGAUAAAGAAGCUAGAGAGACAUCGUGCAGCAGAACAUCUUUAACAUGCACCAGGGAGGAAGGGAGGUGGAGAGCAUACAGGGGUGGAAAGUACUUCCACAUGAGUGCUGUACAAUUUUAAUGCAUUUGUACUUGUAUUUCCAAUUUAGGUGACUUUAUAUUUUUUCUUCACUACAUUUCAAACCAAAUAUCCUAUUUUUUUCACUUGGCAGUUAACUUUAUUAGA